ACGGGUGAGUAACGCGUGGGAAUCUACCCAUCUCUACGGAAUAACGCAUGGAAACGUGUGCUAAUACCGUAUACGUCCUUCGGGAGAAAGAUUUAUCGGAGAUGGAUGAGCCCGCGUUGGAUUAGCUAGUUGGUGGGGUAAAGGCCUACCAAGGCGACGAUCCAUAGCUGGUCUGAGAGGAUGAUCAGCCACACUGGGACUGAGACACGGCCCAGACUCCUACGGGAGGCAGCAGUGGGGAAUAUUGGACAAUGGGCGCAAGCCUGUUCCAGCCAUGCCGCGUGAGUGAUGAAGGCCCUAGGGUUGUAAAGCUCUUUCACCGGUGAAGAUAAUGACGGUAACCGGAGAAGAAGCCCCGGCUAACUUCGUGCCAGCAGCCGCGGUAAUACGAAGGGGGCUAGCGUUGUUCGGAUUUACUGGGCGUAAAGCGCACGUAGGCGGACUAUUAAGUCAGGGGUGAAAUCCCGGGGCUCAACCCCGGAACUGCCUUUGAUACUGGUAGUCUUGAGUUCGAGAGAGGUGAGUGGAAUUCCGAGUGUAGAGGUGAAAUUCGUAGA
rnacentral:rRNA from 1 species